CAGAUGCUAGAGGGUUAAUUUGAUUUAGUAUUGCUUAUUAGGCUAUAGUGGGCGGUAUUGAGUGUCCUCACUGAGUACUUUUGUAUGCUCAUGCCUCCUUUUGUGAUGCAGGUGACGAGUAGUUGAUUGGACCGGAGCGCGGGACAAUGAAGACCAUCGGGGCGAGUUUUAUUUUUUUAUAAACUUGGGAUUUCUAUUGGGUGUUUUAUGAAUCAUAUACUAUUACUCUAUAUUAUUUUCUCGGAUUUAUUAAUAAAAUUGGAGUUUUGUUUGAGUUUAUUAUUGAAAAAUUUCAUGAAUUUUUACUUAGAAUUUUUCAAGGCUUUUUCAAGAUUUAUGGGUCGGGGUGUUUCAAUUGGUAUCAGAGCGGGGUUGGCUAGCCAGUUCUGUCCUGGUUGGCUGUUUUUUUCGAAAAUGGGAUUUGUGGGUAAGGGUGGAAAGGAACCGAUGGUCUAUGUCUCGCGCGAAGGAUGUGUGGUAUGAUUUUACAAAGAUAUUUCUAGUUAUGUGUUUAUGAUUGGACUGCU
rnacentral:lncRNA from 1 species